CCUUUCGAACGCGACCUCAAAUCAAACAAGACAACCCGCU
rnacentral:rRNA from 1 species